rnacentral:tRNA from 1 species
GGUUCCGUGGUGUAGUGGUUAACAUGCCUGCCUGUCACGCAGGAGAUCGCGGGUUCGAGUCCCGUCGGGACCGC